rnacentral:lncRNA from 1 species
UUAAGAAAAAAGGCACGACGAAUUGCGUAAUUUUACAUAGAGGCUAGACUGCUUAAUUAAAUAUAUUAUGUUGAAACAUAAUUAUCUAGAGAGUUAGAGAGAGAGAUGGGGUAGAAAUGCUAGAUUGAUAAGGUCACCUUCACUUGAUUAUAUCUACGUAAAAAUGUUAUGUUUAAAAUAAUAAAGACUGUUGCUAUGUUAAAUAAAACUGUUUAAAAGGUUUAUUGUAUUAAAUGGCCACGCUUCCUUACAACGCGCGUUUCUGGAGCCGCAGACAGGAUGAACGAUGAAGUACGCAAUACCACUAGAAGAUCACGCCGAGAAACAAGGUCUACAACAUAUAUGAUAACCAGCAGACCAACACAGUUAUGAUCAACGACAGUCAAGGUAGUGAAAUAACUGUUAAAAGCGGUGUAGAAGUAACUAUGGAAGAAAGAAUUCUCUGAAUGUUGGAGACUACAGAACUAGAAAACAACUGAAGUAAAUAAUAAACACGCAUGAAGUGUGAAGUGACGUAAUUGGGAACAAUAAAAUGGAGGGCAUGCCAGUGUCCUAGUUUAUGAAGGGAUUCUGAAGUGUUUUACAUGAAAUUUAAAAAUAUGCAGCACAGUUAUUUAAGGAAAAGGAUUAGAUUACCAAGAAAGUGAUUCAUCUCACCAAUUUCUGACGUAGUGACGAACAGAAGCCAUUGUUACAGUAGUGAUCAGAGACAAGUUUCAUAUUGAUAUAGCUUCUGUCUGAAAGUUUUCAUUUUCGACCAUUGCCAGUGGCGGCGAGGAAGUGGAGAUUUCAAAUCCAUUAGAGGAAUCGUGUAUUGUUGAUGAACAACACUUGUGUCCCGUUUGUGGGAAAAAAUUCAAAAGAAAGUUCACGAGAAUGACAAAAGUAUCAGCCCGCCCGCUUAGCUCAGUAGGUAAGAGCGUUGGUCUACGGAUCGCGGGGUCGUGAGUUCGGUCCUCGGGCGGGGCGUAUGUUCUCCGUGACUAUUUGAUAAACGACAUUGUG